rnacentral:rRNA from 1 species
CCUACGUGUGGCAGCAGUGGGGAAUAUUGCGCAAUGGGCGAAAGCCUGACGCAGCGACGCCGCGUGAGGGAUGAAGGUCUUCGGAUCGUAAACCUCUGUCAGCAGGGAAGAACGGUCACUGUGCUAAUCAGCAGUGAAUUGACGGUACCUGCAACGGAAGCACCGGCUAACUCCGCGCCAACAGCCGCGGUAAUACGGCGGGUGCGAGCGUUAAUCGGAAUUACUGGGCGUAAAGCGCUCGUAGGCGGUAUGUCAAGUCAAGGGUGAAAUCCCCGCGCUCAACGUGGGAACUGCCUUUGAAACUGGCAAACUGGAGUGUGUGAGAGGAUAGUGGAAUGCCAGGUGUAGGAGUGAAAUCCGUAGAUAUCUGGAGGAACAUCAGUGGCGAAGGCGACUAUCUGGCACAUAACUGACGCUGAGGAGCGAAAGCGUGGGUAGCAAACAGGAUUAGAUACCCGUGUAGUC